CAGUAGCCGCGGUAAUACGUAGGUGGCAAGUGUUGUCCGGAAUUAUUGGGCGUAAAGGGCUCGCAGGCGGUUUCUUAAGUCUAAUGUGAAAGCCCCCGGCUCAACCGGGGAGGGUCAUUGGAAACUGGGAAACUUGAGUGCAGAAGAGGAGAGUGGAAUUCCACGUGUAGCGGUGAAAUGCGUAGAGAUGUGGAGGAACACCAGUGGCGAAGGCGACUCUCUGGUCUGUAACUGACGCUGAGGAGCGAAAGCGUGGGGAGCGAACAGGAUUAGAUACCCGCGUAGCCCCUGUCUCUUAUAC
rnacentral:rRNA from 1 species